AUUGAACGCUGGCGGCAUGCCUUACACAUGCAAGUCGAACGGCAGCACGGGAGCAAUCCUGGUGGCGAGUGGCGAACGGGUGAGUAAUAUAUCGGAACGUGCCCAGUCGUGGGGGAUAACGCAGCGAAAGCUGUGCUAAUACCGCAUACGAUCUAUGGAUGAAAGCGGGGGAUCGCAAGACCUCGCGCGAUUGGAGCGGCCGAUAUCAGAUUAGGUAGUUGGUGGGGUAAAGGCUCACCAAGCCGACGAUCUGUAGCUGGUCUGAGAGGACGACCAGCCACACUGGAACUGAGACACGGUCCAGACUCCUACGGGAGGCAGCAGUGGGGAAUUUUGGACAAUGGGCGCAAGCCUGAUCCAGCAAUGCCGCGUGCAGGAUGAAGGCCUUCGGGUUGUAAACUGCUUUUGUACGGAACGAAAAGGCUCUGGUUAAUACCUGGGGCUCAUGACGGUACCGUAAGCAUAAGCACCGGCUAACUACGUGCCAGCCGCCGCGGUAAGAC
rnacentral:rRNA from 1 species